rnacentral:rRNA from 1 species
UAAGGAAUAUUGGUCAAUGGGCGCAAGCCUGAACCAGCCAUGCCGCGUGCAGGAAGACGGCCCUAUGGGUUGUAAACUGCUUUUGUCAGGGAAUAAACCCCCGCUCGUGAGCGGGGCUGAAGGUACCUGAAGAAUAAGCAUCGGCUAACUCCGUGCCAGCAGCCGCGGUAAUACGGAGGAUGCAAGCGUUAUCCGGAUUCAUUGGGUUUAAAGGGUGCGCAGGCGGAUUGGUAAGUCAGGGGUGAAAUCCCACAGCUCAACUGUGGAACUGCCUUUGAUACUGUCAGUCUAGAGUAUAGUUGAAGUGGGCGGAAUGUGUCAUGUAGCGGUGAAUGCUUAGAUAUGACACAGAACACCGACCGCGAAGGCAGCUCGCUAAGCUAUGACUGACGCUCAUGCACGAAAGCGUGGGGAUCAAACAG